UACAGAGGCCGCGAGCGUUAGGCGGAAUAACUGGGCUUAAAGCGUGUGCAGGCGGAGGCCUAAGUGUCUUGUGAAAUCCCACGGCUUAACUGUGGAACUGCUUGGCAUACUGGGUGUCUUGAGCAGCCUAGGGGCGGGCGGAACAGAUGGUGGAGCGGUGAAAUGAGUAGAUAUCAUCUGGAACGCCAAUGGCGAAGACAGCUCGCUGGGGGCUCGCUGACGCUGAGACACGAAAGCCAGGGGAGCGAACGGG
rnacentral:rRNA from 1 species